rnacentral:rRNA from 1 species
GAUGAACGCUGGCGGCGUGCUUAAUACAUGCAAGUCGAACGGAAAGGCCCUGCUUUUGCGGGGUGCUCGUUUGGCGAACGGGUGAGUAACACGCGUGUAACCUGUCCUUGUCUUUGGGAUAACUUUAGGAAACUGGGGCUAAUACCGGAUAGGAGCUCCUGCUGCAUGGUGGGGGUUGGAAAGUUUCGGCGGUUGGGGAUGGACUCGCAGCUUAUCCGCUUGUUGGUGGGGUAGUGGCGUACCAAGGCUUUGACGGCUAGCCGGCCUGGGAGGGUGACCGGCGACAUUGGGACUGAGAUACGGCGCAGACUCCUACGGGACGCAACAGUGGGGAAUAUUACGGAGUGGCCGGGCGCCUGAUGCAGCAGCGCCGCGAGCGGAAUAACGGGCUACGAGUUGUAAACCGCUUUCGCAUGUGACGAGGCGAGAGUGACGGUAAUGGGUAAGGAAGCCCCGGCUAACUACGUG